rnacentral:rRNA from 1 species
AGAUUAAGCCAUGCAUGUCUCAGUACAAACUAAAUUAAAGUGAAACCGCGAAAGGCUCAUUAAUCAGUUAUGGUUCCUUAGAUCGUACCCACAUAUCCUUGGAUAACUGUGGUAAUUCUAGAGCUAAUACAUGCAAACAGAGUUCUAACCGGAAACGGAAGGAACGCUUUUAUUAGAUCAAAACCAAUCGGUGGCGGCUUUACGCCGUCAUCGUAAAACUUGGUGACACUGAAUAACUUUAAGCUGAUCGCACGGUCUUGCACCGGCGACGCAUCUUUCAAAUGUCUGCCUUAUCAACUGUCGAUGGUAGGUUCUGCGCCUACCAUGGUUGUAACGGGUAACGGGGAAUCAGGGUUCGAUUCCGGAGAGGGAGCCUGAGAAACGGCUACCACAUCCAAGGAAGGCAGCAGGCGCGCAAAUUACCCACUCCCGGCACGGGGAGGUAGUGACGAAAAAUAACGAUACGGGACUCAUCCGAGGCCCCGUAAUCGGAAUGAGUACACUCUAAAUCCUUUAACGAGGAUCAAUUGGAGGGCAAGUCUGGUGCCAGCAGCCGCGGUAAUUCCAGCUCCAAUAGCGUAUAUUAAAGUUGUUGCGGUUAAAAAGCUCGUAGUCGAAUCUGUGUUUCGCGCCGCCGGUUCAUCGUUCGCGGUGUUAACUGGCGUGACGCGGAACGUCCUGUCGGUGGGCUUAGCUCGCAAGGGCGGCCCUACUCAAUCCUGCCGCGGUGCUCUUCACUGAGUGUCGAGGUGGGCCGACACAUUUACUUUGAACAAAUUAGAGUGCUUAAAGCAGNGCUAAAAUUUUGCCUAUAUAUUGUGUGCAUGGAAUAAUGGAAUAGGACCUCGUUUCUAUUUUGCUGGUUUUCGGAACCACGAGGUAAUGAUUAAUAGGAACGGAUGGGGGCAUUCGUAUUGCGACGUUAGAGGUGAAAUUCUUGGAUCGUCGCAAGAC